AACGCUAGCUACAGGCUUAACACAUGCAAGUCGAGGGGAAACGAUAUUGGAAGCUUGCUUCCGAUAGGCGUCGACCGGCGCACGGGUGAGUAACGCGUAUCCAACCUGCCCACCACUUGGGGAUAACCUUGCGAAAGUAAGACUAAUACCCAAUGACGUCUCUAGAAGACAUCUGAAAGAGAUUAAAGAUUUAUCGGUGAUGGAUGGGGAUGCGUCUGAUUAGCUUGUUGGCGGGGUAACGGCCCACCAAGGCGACGAUCAGUAGGGGUUCUGAGAGGAAGGUCCCCCACAUUGGAACUGAGACACGGUCCAAACUCCUACGGGAGGCAGCAGUGAGGAAUAUUGGUCAAUGGGCGAGAGCCUGAACCAGCCAAGUAGCGUGCAGGAAGACGGCCCUAUGGGUUGUAAACUGCUCUUAUAAGGGAAUAAAGUGAGUCUCGUGAGACUUUUUGCAUGCACCUUAUGAAUAAGGACCGGCUAAUUCCGUGCCAGCAGCCGCGGUAAUACGGAAGGUCCGGGCGUUAUCCGGAUUUAUUGGGUUUAAAGGGAGCGUAGGCCGGAGAUUAAGCGUGUUGUGAAAUGUAGACGCUCAACGUCUGCACUGCAGCGCGAACUGGUUUCCUUGAGUACGCACAAAGUGGGCGGAAUUCGUGGUGUAGCGGUGAAAUGCUUAGAUAUCACGAAGAACUCCGAUUG
rnacentral:rRNA from 1 species